AGCGGGCGGGUGCGGGCGCUGUGAAUGGGGAGCGGGCCUGCCCGAGGCUUUGGCCCCGCUGUCGCCCUCCGAGGCGUCCCCAGGCUGGCUUAGGGGCGCCGGGGUGACCUCGCCUGGCAGGCCCCAAGGAAGGAACUGGGUGGACUGAGUGAGCAGUGCCCCUCUCUGUCUGACGCCUAGCAAGGGGGGUCCUGGGGACCCCACCAGGAGAAGUUAAAAUGAAAAGUAAGGGAGGGGAGGCUAGAGGGCCUGGGCACCUUUAGGUGCAGUACCAGGCCCGCAGGAGGAUUGCCAGGUCUGAGCUGUGGAAGCAGAAAUUGGCUUUUCCUUUCCAGAUUUAUCCAGUAUUCAGAAAGGGGAAUCUAGCACCUUCCUUCCCGAUUUGAACACACUCAACAUUCAGGGGUGCUCAAGCUCAAUUUAGGCUGCUGUUACUUCAUUUCUCCCAAAUCAAAAAUGCUGAUCCGCUGUAACUUGCUGUAGAAAAACUGGAUAAAAUUGAGAGACAAAUGCUGGGGUCUUCCCAGUGCUAACUCGGACUGGAAUUGCUAUUUUCAACAGCCAUUACCAUUUUUUCUUUAGUUUUUUUUUGUUUAAAAGGAAGACAGUAAUAUUGCACUGGGAAAUUCCCCACAGAAACGAAGAGCGGAAGAAAAGAAUAACAAAGGCACCUCAACUUUUCCUCAUUUAUCUAGGACAGUCUUAUCAUAUGGAUCCAGAUAUCCUCCAAUCACACAAGCUGAAAAUUGUUCCACUUUACCACAGUUCUGUAACCGUGCGGGAACCAGUCCUGUCUGUGUUCUGUGCACAUCCAAAAUCCCUCCUGAAUUCAGAAGAGCCUUGCUUUUGUGACCACACUACCAGAUAUUUUCAGCCUUGGUAUUUCAUACGUGAAUGAGAAUGGACCCUCAGCCAUAAUUUUGUUGAACUGACUGAGCCUGAACUGAACAGAAAAACAAACCAAACCUGUGCACGUCGGCGGAAGCACUCUAUGUAGAACUCCAGUCUGCUGUUUCGACCUUCAGGAGGAGUCCACCUAGAAUCCUUCUUUUUGUAAUGUUGGUAGGGAGGCCUCUGUGGAUUAGUAUGUUCUUCAGAGGUGUGUUGGAAAUAUUCCUUGAGUCGGAGACGUCGAAAAUAGGAUUCUAGGUCACCACAGAACUGUAUCAUGUUCGUGAGGGUGGAGGGGCAGAAGGAGAGGCCCUACAACCUAUCCGGAAGGAUGACCCAACACUCUCACAAAUCUUGGGAGACAGGCCAGUCCUUGCCUACAGACAGCCCCCCAACCUGAAGCAAAUACUCACCAACAACCACAUACCACACAACAGAACCACUAACCCAGGAACCUAUCCUUGCAACAAAGCCCGUUGCCAACUGUGCCCACAUAUCUAUUCAGGGGACACCAUCACAGGGCCUAAUAACAUCAGCCACACUAUCAGAGGCUUGUUCACCUGCACAUCCACCAAUGUGAUAUAUGCCAUCAUGUGCCAGCAAUGCCCCUCUGCCACGUACAUUGGUCAAACUGGACAGUCUCUACGUAAAAGAAUAAAUGGACACAAAUCAGAUGUCAAGAAUUAUAACAUUCAUAAACCAGUCGGAGAACACUUCAAUCUCUCUGGUCACGCAAUCACAGACAUGAAGGUCGCUAUCUUAAAACAAAAAAACUUCAAAUCCAGACUCCAGCGAGAAACUGCUGAAUUGGAAUUCAUUUGCAAAUUGGAUACUAUUAAUUUAGGCUUAAAUAGAGACUGGGAGUGGCUAAGUCAUUAUGCAAAGUAGCCUGUUUCCUCUUGUUUUUUCCUACCCCCCCCCCCCCCCCAGAUGUUCUGGUUUAACUUGGAUUUAAACUUGGAGAGUGGUCAGUUUAGAUGAGCUAUUACCAGCAGGAGAGUGAGUUUGUGUGUGUAUGGGGGUGGGGGGGAAGUGAGAAAACCUGGAUCUAUGCAGGAAAUAGCCCGACUUGAUUAUGUAAAGAGUUGUCACUUUGGAUGGGC